rnacentral:rRNA from 1 species
UACAGAGGGGGCAAGCGUUAUUCGGAAUUAUUGGGCGUAAAGGGCGCGUAGGCGGCUUUGCAAGUGACGGGUGAAAUCCCUCGGCUUAACCGAGGAACUGCCUGUCAAACUGCAUGGCUUGAGACCGGGAGAGGUGAGUGGAAUUCCCAGUGUAGCGGUGAAAUGCGUAGAUAUUGGGAGGAACACCAGUGGCGAAGGCGGCUCACUGGACCGGUACUGACGCUGAUGCGCGAAAGCGUGGGGAGCAAACAGG